rnacentral:rRNA from 1 species
UACGGGGGAGCAAGCGUUGUUCGGAUUUACUGGGCGUAAAGGGCGCGUAGGCGGCCAGCGCAAGUCAGUUGUGAAAUCUCCGGGCUUAACUCGGAAAGGUCAACUGAUACUGCGCGGCUAGAGUGCGGAAGGGGCAACUGGAAUUCUCGGUGUAGCGGUGAAAUGCGUAGAUAUCGAGAGGAACACCUGUGGUGUAGACAGCUUACUGGACCACUUCUGACGCUGAGACACGAAAGCGUGGGUAGCAAACAGG